UAGGGAAUCUUCCACAAUGGACGCAAGUCUGAUGGAGCAACGCCGCGUGAGUGAAGAAGGUUUUCGGAUCGUAAAGCUCUGUCGUUGGUGAAGAAGGAUAGAGGCAGUAACUGGUCUUUAUUUGACGGUAAUCAACCAGAAAGUCACGGCUAACUACGUGCCAGCAGCCGCGGUAAUACGUAGGUGGCAAGCGUUGUCCGGAUUUAUUGGGCGUAAAGCGAGCGCAGGCGGAAUGAUAAGUCUGAUGUGAAAGCCCACGGCUCAACCGUGGAACUGCAUCGGAAACUGUCAUUCUUGAGUGCAGAAGAGGAGAGUGGAAUUCCAUGUGUAGCGGUGGAAUGCGUAGAUAUAUGGAAGAACACCAGUGGCGAAGGCGGCUCUCUGGUCUGCAACUGACGCUGAGGCUCGAAAGCAUGGGUAGCGAACAGG
rnacentral:rRNA from 1 species